UAUUAAAAACAUCAUUCAUUUUUUACUUUUAAAAACCAGUGUGGCUGACGGAUCAACCAUAUAGUAACAUGUGACGUGCCAUGUAUACCUCAUGUUGACAUAUAGGAACCCAUUUUUACUAGUGGAAAUUGAUAGAGUUUUUAAUA
rnacentral:pre_miRNA from 1 species